AUGAACGCCGGCGGCGUGCCUAAUACAUGCAAGUCGAGCGAACAGACGAGGAGCUUGCUCCUCUGACGUUAGCGGCGGACGGGUGAGUAACACGUGGAUAACCUACCUAUAAGACUGGGAUAACUUCGGGAAACCGGAGCUAAUACCGGAUAAUAUAUUGAACCGCAUGGUUCAAUAGUGAAAGACGGUUUUGCUGUCACUUAUAGAUGGAUCCGCGCCGCAUUAGCUAGUUGGUAAGGUAACGGCUUACCAAGGCAACGAUGCGUAGCCGACCUGAGAGGGUGAUCGGCCACACUGGAACUGAGACACGGUCCAGACUCCUACGGGAGGCAGCAGUAGGGAAUCUUCCGCAAUGGGCGAAAGCCUGACGGAGCAACGCCGCGUGAGUGAUGAAGGUCUUCGGAUCGUAAAACUCUGUUAUUAGGGAAGAACAAAUGUGUAAGUAACUAUGCACGUCUUGACGGUACCUAAUCAGAAAGCCACGGCUAACUACGUG
rnacentral:rRNA from 1 species